UUGAGUUUGAUCCUGGCUCAAGACGAACGCUGGCGGCGUGCCUAACACAUGCAAGUCGAACGGAGGUACGCGCUGAAUGGAUGGAGCUUGCUUUUGAAAUUCUUGUGUAUCUUAGUGGCGGACGGGUGAGUAACGCGUGAGCAACCUGCCUUUCAGAGGGGGAUAACGUUUGGAAACGAACGCUAAUACCGCAUGAGACCACAGUACUGCAUAGUACAGUGGCCAAAGGAGCAAUCCGCUGAAAGAUGGGCUCGCGUCCGAUUAGAUAGUUGGCGGGGUAACGGCCCACCAAGUCGACGAUCGGUAGCCGGACUGAGAGGUUGAACGGCCACAUUGGGACUGAGACACGGCCCAGACUCCUACGGGAGGCAGCAGUGAGGGAUAUUGGUCAAUGGGGGAAACCCUGAACCAGCAACGCCGCGUGAGGGAAGACGGUUUUCGGAUUGUAAACCUCUGUCCUCUGUGAAGAUAAUGACGGUAGCAGAGGAAGAAGCUCCGGCUAACUACGUGCCAGCAGCCGCGGUAAUACGUANGGAGCGAGCGUUGUCCGGAUUUACUGGG
rnacentral:rRNA from 1 species